rnacentral:rRNA from 1 species
GACGAACGCUGGCGGCGUGCCUAACACAUGCAAGUCGAACGGGGUUACGAGAGCUUGCUCUUGUAACUUAGUGGCGAACGGGUGAGUAACGCGUGAGAAACCUGCCUCUCAGUGGGGGACAACAGUUGGAAACGACUGCUAAUACCGCAUAAUGUCAUCGAGCGGCAUCGCUUGAUGACCAAAGAUUUAUUGCUGAAAGAUGGCCUCGCGUCUGAUUAGCUAGUUGGUGGGUAACGGCCCACCAAGGCGACGAUCAGUAGCCGGUCUGAGAGGAUGAACGGCCACAUUGGGACUGAGAUACGGCCCAGACUCCUACGGGAGGCAGCAGUGGGGAAUAUUGGGCAAUGGGGGAAACCCUGACCCAGCAACGCCGCGUGAAGG